rnacentral:rRNA from 1 species
GCUUAACCGUAAACAUAGACAGUACAAACACAAUACUGUCCGCCAGAGAACUACAAGUGAAAAACUAGAAACUCCAAGGACUGGGCGGUGCCCCACAUCAACCUAGAGGAGCCUGUCCUAUAAUCGAUAAUCCACGCUGUACCUUACCAUUUCUAGCNAAUUCNAGCCUAUAUACCGCCGUCGGAAGCCUACCUUAUGAAAGAGAUGAAGUAAGCAAAGUAGUUAACAACUAAAACGUCAGGUCAAGGUGUAGCACAUGAAAUGGCAGAGAUGGGCUACAUUUUCUACCNCUAGAAAA